ensembl:lncRNA
GCGUCUCACCCUGUUGGAAAAAAAUAAACUAAAAUACAAACAACCUUUCUGUGUCCUUGGAAGAAACAGAAGUCUCUGAUUUCUUGGAUCUUAAUCACUUACGUUUAGGGCGUUUAGCAGAAGCUUUCAUCCAAAGCGACUUACAAUAAGUACAUUUGUCUGAAGAAAGAGAAACAACAACAUAUGGCUCGGUCCAUGUAAUUGGUAAAGUAAGGAUGUUCAUAGAACCAAGUGCCGAGCACUAACCAUCACUAGGUUAACCCAUUCCCCGUACACAACGGAGAUAGCUAGGAGAAGAUGCUACACAAGGUUAAGUACUGUUUUUAAGUGCAAGGACAUACAACAUACAAUACGUGUCUACAUUAAGGAGCAGGUAGGGGUUAGACAGUACAGAGUCGGGUCAUUAAGGAGCAGGUAGGGGUUAGACAGUACAGAGACAGGUCAUUAAGGAGCAGGUAGGGGUUAGACAGUACAGAGACAGGUCAUUAAGGAGCAGGUAGGGGUUAGACAGUACAGAGACGGGUCAUUAAGGAGCAGGUAGGGGUUAGACAGUACAGAGACAGGUCAUUAAGGAGCAGGUAGGAGUUAGAUACAUACAGUAUUAUUAAUACGCAUUUAAAUGUAUGUUGAAUAUACAAAAUAAAUGACUUAUUACAAUCAUUAAUAUAAAGAUUAUAACAACGUAAACUGAACCUGUAAAAUGGUGUGCUGCUGAGGCAUUCUGGGUACUCCCGGACACCAGGGUGUGGUUCCCGCUCUGACCCCAAGGGGGC